GAUGAACGCUGGCGGCGUGCCUAAUACAUGCAAGUCGAGCGAACAGAUGAGGAGCUUGCUCCUCUGACGUUAGCGGCGGACGGGUGAGUAACACGUGGAUAACCUACCUAUAAGACUGGGAUAACUUCGGGAAACCGGAGCUAAUACCGGAUAAUAUAUUGAACCGCAUGGUUCAAUAGUGAAAGACGGUUUUGCUGUCACUUAUAGAUGGAUCCGCGCCGCAUUAGCUAGUUGGUAAGGUAACGGCUUACCAAGGCAACGAUGCGUAGCCGACCUGAGAGGGUGAUCGGCCACACUGGAACUGAGACACGGUCCAGACGCCUACGGGAGGCAGCAGUAGGGAAUCUUCCGCAAUGGGCGAAAGCCUGACGGAGCAACGCCGCGUGAGUGAUGAAGGUCUUCGGAUCGUAAAACUCUGUUAUUAGGGAAGAACAAAUGUGUAAGUAACUAUGCACGUCUUGACGGUACCUAAUCAGAAAGCAACGGCUAACUACGUG
rnacentral:rRNA from 1 species